GGCUUUGCCUCCUAUGGGUGCCUUGUGAGCAGCAGAUUCGACUUCCUCCUCAAACCAAGUUAUCCUGAAAACACCCAAGCAGAGGAAGCAUUUUUUCACCAUGACAUGGGAAAGGGCCACAGGGAUCCAAAUGGAAACGGACAUUUCAUACAGAGUCCUGCUCUGUCACCCAGGCUGGAGUGCAGUGGCAUGAUCCUGGCUCAUUGCAACCUCUGCCUCCCGGAUUCAAGCGAUUUUCAUAUAUCAGCCUCCCAAGUAGCUGGGAUUACAGGCGUGGGCCCCUGUGCCCCCCACCACUUCUGGAACCACUGAAGCACAACCACACUUUGGAGCCAGAAGAGGAGCUGAAAUGUCAAUUGGAGAGGACUUUCCUGCUCUAAAAGGUAAACCUCAGGUUCUCCUCCUGCCUUUUGCUAAGUAUAUGUCUUGAUGACAAGCCUUCUGCUAAUGAGCUGUGUUUCUGGACCGAUCAUGGUAGAAGUCAAUUGAAGUGUCCCUCACUUGGGGUUUCUUAAGGCUGCACUGAUGAGGAAACUGAAACAGAAAAUCCAGAGUAAAUUCCACCAGGCCACACAGCAAGGUCUGAUAGAGCCAGGAGAGACUUUAUGAAAUCCAGACUCUCACACUAAUGCUCUAUCAGCUAGACCUCCAUGUGAGUCUCCCCAAUGUAGGUAGGAAGCACUUUCCC
rnacentral:lncRNA from 1 species